AUGGUCUACACUCACUAUCUCAUACUAUAAAAGUCACACUUAGUGUCAUUCAAGGGUAAUGCAAAUUUAGACUUUGAUGCUAUAAUUUUACUAGAUUUUUUCUACUUUAUUCUCAAUAUCGACCUCCUUUUUUUACAUUGGAAACUCACGUUAUCUCCUACCCAAAACUGACUUAAUCAUCAAAGUGCGCACGACCGGCUCCACUCCCACCCGAGAAGGCCACACGUGACUAACGAUUUGUCCUAGUGUGCAAGAAUAUGGCUUGUCUGGACAUGAGAGAUCUUGAAAUCUGUUGGCCACGUUAGAGAUACAUUUUUCGAGAUCAACAGAAUAUACCCUCUCGCUAUACUGCAAGCAAGGGAAUUCCAUGAACUCAUCAGUGCCCAUUAUUAGUUGAACCUUGUAUGCCCCACUUCCAAGAAGAUUGUCCUUUAUGACCUUAAAAGAGUAUUAAGAUGAUAAUUUUUUGAUACUCCAGGUUCUGUCCUAAUUGUCACCACUCCUGCACUAGGAGUCUUGGGGAGGUUUGGCUUGUCAAUAACCUAAUGCGUGCUUUCAUCCUCCACCCGUGCACCCUCUACUCAAAAGCAUUUUUCAUAGUGCCUGAACCUGUGUGCUGUCACAAGAAACUCCUAUCAUUCCUAGAUAAUAACUGGGAUAUGAGAACACCUUUUAUUUU
rnacentral:lncRNA from 1 species